rnacentral:rRNA from 1 species
UACGGGGGGAGCAAGCGUUGUUCGGAUUUACUGGGCGUAAAGGGCGCGUAGGCGGCCACUGCAAGUCGGUUGUGAAAUCUCCGGGCUUAACCCGGAAAGGUCAACCGAUACUGCAGGGCUAGAGUGCAGAAGGGGCAACUGGAAUUCUCGGUGUAGCGGUGAAAUGCGUAGAUAUCGAGAGGAACACCUGCGGCGAAGGCGGGUUGCUGGGCUGACACUGACGCUGAUGCGCGAAAGCGUGGGGAGCAAACAGG